rnacentral:misc_RNA from 1 species
AACUUUCGGCAAUGGAUCACUUGGUUCCGGCAUCGAUGAAGAACGCAGCGAAAUGCGAUACGUAAUGUGAAUUGCAGAAUUCAGUGAAUCAUCGAGUCUUUGAACGCACAUUGCGCCCUCUGGUAUUCCGGAGGGCAUGCCUGUCCGAGCGUCAUUGCUGCCCUCAAGCACGGCUUGUGUGUUGGGCUCCGUCCCCCGAUCCCGGGGGACGGGCCCGAAAGGCAGCGGCGGCACCGCGUCCGGUCCUCGAGCGUAUGGGGCUUUGUCACCCGCUCUGUAGGCGCGGCCGGCGCUUGCCGAUCAACCAAAUUUUUAUCCAGGUUGACCUCGGAUCAGGUAGGGAUACCCGCUGAACUUAAGCAUAUCAAUAAGCGGAGGCU